rnacentral:rRNA from 1 species
UACGGAGGGUGCAAGCGUUAUCCGGAUUCACUGGGUUUAAAGGGUGCGUAGGAGGGUGAGUAAGUCAGUGGUGAAAUCUUCGAGCUUAACUCGGAAACUGCCGUUGAUACUACUUGUCUUGAAUACCGUGGAGGUGAGCGGAAUAUGUCAUGUAGCGGUGAAAUGCUUAGAUAUGACAUAGAACACCAAUUGCGAAGGCAGCUCACUACACGAAUAUUGACUCUGAGGCACGAAAGCGUGGGGAGCGAACAGG